AGUUUAAUGAAAUUUAAAUUGCGUUCACAGUCUGGCAACGUAAAGCACUUCCGCAAAACGGACAAAUUCGAAACCCCGAGACUCAGUUAGACGCUCGAGUGCCAUGCCAUACUUUAUCUUCAUUCUAAAAUGAGUCUAAAUCAGUUACCCGAAGAAGUGUUAUUACGCCACAUACUUUCAUUUUCAGAAAUUACUAUUUUUGAUUUGCAGAGUUUGAUGUUUUCCUGCCAUACUUUAUAUCGUAUUAUUCGGAAUUCGAACGAAUUGUGGAGACUAAAGUUCAGUACAAGAUGGCCUCAAAUUCCAAUUCAACACCAAGAAAGAAAUGAAAGGAUUUGGUAUGAAAGAGUAGCUCUUGCAAUAAUGGCAGUUAAAGAAGUUCACAACACUCUGCAAGAAAUCUCCUUUCAGUGCUACCCUUUAAACCAGAGUCCUUUGAGUGCAGCUGAUAAGUUGAUUAUGGGUCAUUUGGGUCAACCUCCCAUUCCUGAAUGUGUGCAACAUGAACUUGAGCUUAUGGCUAGUACCACAAAUGAAAAUUUGACUACACAGUACUAUGCUAGGGAUCUUCUAACCAAAGUAAAAAGCCGUCUGAUAGAACGUAAAUUACAAGAUUUGAUGGCACAACCAGAAUCUCAGAAAUCCCUGAUAGACGGUGCUGUACUCAUUUCCCAGUGGUUUGAGAUGGGCAAGCUUAAACAAACCAACCUAGGUGACAUUAGACAAGUUAUUGAAGACCUCACCGAAAGAGUAAGGAAACUUACCAAUUCUACGGUGUAUAGUGCAGAAUGUUUAUUUCCAACCGCCAAAGCAUGUGAUUCAUUUGAAAAAGCCAAAGAAAUUCUCGACUUGAUUCAUCUGGUUAUGUUUCGUGAUAUAGGCUUUGAACCAUGUCAUAUCUACUGGUUGUCUCUUGAUCAUUAUUGUUCUAUCACAGAGGUGCUUGAAACAAAGCGUGGCUGUCAAAUGCUUUUAACAAUAGUCUUCCAUGAAGUUGCCAGGGAACUUGGUAUUCCAUUACAAAUUGUAAUCUAUAGAGAAUGUUCACUCAGUGGAGAAAGGGACCUACUUCUAAGAUGGAGCAAAGAUCCAGGGGAAGUGGAUGCCGAAAGAAUUUACUACGUUGAUGUUUGUGCUAAGACGUAUGAUUCAUUAAAGCAGUGCCAUUGUUAUCCAGCCGCCAUGGGUCAACCAGCUUCUUCAGCCCAGAAAGUGUUCCAUCAAAUGAUGAGCACGAUAAUAGAACAAUUACGGUUUCAUUGGGGAUCGUUUUUAAAUUUCACUGGCUUAGGAAGAGACAACGAUUUUCGACUCCUCAUUCGACUUGCCAUUAUUAUUUCACCCCGAGAAAAGGAUUUAGUCCUGGAAUAUGCAAACCUCUGCUUAGCUUUAAGCCUUCAGCUGGAAGACGCAAUUCAACUCCUUCUGUCUGUAGGGCUUCAGGCUCAUCAGAUGAUGAAGAAGUGCGUGGAAAAGCUGUGUAGACAUCAAAUAUUAAUCAUUGCGGCGAAAUUUGUUUGUUACCGGCCUCUAACAGUAAAAUAUGCAGUCGGCCUCGUCAUGGAAUAUAAAUCAAUGCCCGAAUUCUACUUCAACCACAGCCAACCUUGUGUCAUUGUUUCGUGGAGCGCCAAAUUUCAGAAAUCCGAUCAAUGGAAGACUGUUCAUAGGAAAAGGAAGCCGAAGGGCGUUAAACAGCAAGAUCAGGCAUUCUACCACAUUUUGGUAAAAAAUGCCCCCAGUGGUUUUAUCGGAUUAAACGUUGCUGAAGAAACUUUAGAGCUUCCUCGUGAUAUCGGUCUUGCUCAUGAACAGCUGGGAUCUGAUUUCGGAGGCAACGGAUACUUUGAACGAUUCGACGGCCGCAGCUGUUGCAAUCGGCUAUGCAACUAAUGGAAUAAUGGAGAGGAAGUGGUUCGCAAAAGAAAAUGCGAAGGGCAUUGAUGGGCCCUUGACAGUCGUGGAACAAGCUAAGACAAAUUUUGGAGCUGCAAUGAACAGUGCAGUGACUGUCUCCUUUAGCCACUCGCUAACUUCUUCGACCCCAAGAGAAGAACCUGAUCUCUAGCCAUUGAUAACGUUCAAUCUAAGGUGUAGCUUAUCAUCUUCAUUAUGAUUUUGAGCACUUGCUUCUACUUAACACCGUCACGGUGCUGCUUAGUCAUUUUCAUUCAAAGCGUUUUGAUGGAAUUCCACCAUAAACUUGAUUAACAAAUGAGAAAACCGGAGAUGAAGAUGAUUCGUUCGUUCGUGUAGAUGCUUUUUGGAAGAUAUGAGAAACUUCCAGGAACAAAGAACCAAUUCCCUUACGUGAAACCAGUCGUCGACUGUUGGAGAACGGCCAGAUCAGUUCCACCACCUUUGGCCAACCUCAGCUCUAUCCCAAGCCAGAACGGCCCGGCAGCUCAUUCCGCCCAGCAUUUCACAACCCCAGAAUUGGCGAAGAAUAGAUUUAGAUCUCGAGGUUUUGGCUCCACUUCAAUUACUCCGGUGAUUCCCAAAGACAAAAUCACCCGGCCAUUACUGAAAAAACAAGAGAAAAGUCGACCAGAUUGGAAUGCGUCGCCAAAAGUAAAAGAGGAAAAGCCAAUCGUAACCAAGACCACAAUGAGCGGAACGAAACCAACUGACAUGGAAAAUGCGAAGCUGGUUCCGUUCAAAGCCAGACCCGUUCCUCGCAGCCAUUAUGACAAGCCUUUUCGACCAGUCUUGCCCAGUAAGAAAGACAAGAAAGGACAACAAAACGCUGUUUCCCAAUUGGCAAAUCGCAUGUGGCACGCCGUGGUGGAUCCAAUUUUCCCUCCAAAGGAAGUGGACGAUGAAAAACGGGUUAACGACGAAGCAACUGCUCAGGAUCCGGAAGACAAAGAAACAGGCAGCGAGGCUCCACACAGCACAAAACAUUCUACGUCGGAAGCAGAAACUGACAAAGUCUUACCGACGGAAGAUGCAGUUGAGCCACUAGCCAAUCCUGGACUUGUCAGCCGUAUGUGGCACUCGAUAGUCGACCCGAUUUUGAAUACGGGGACAAAGGAAUCAGUGGAGGUAGAGAGCAAUUCAAAGGGUUUGUCGGAAAACGAGGAAAUACCGGAAGAAGAUGGUGAUGGAGCCGCUGGAUCUCGAGCGAUGAUAAAGGGACAUCACAGGAGGCCAUAUUCUGACAGUUAUCUAUUGAACAACCGGUCAGUUGAAAUUGCGGAAGAAGAGGAAUCUGCCCGUCCUGGAUCAUUCCAAAGUGUUGCGGAGGAAGGUGAAAAACAAUCAGAAAUGGAUGUAGAACCAUCCGACGAACACCAUCAGAAGAAACAGGCGGAUCAUAAUCAAACUGAAGUAGCAGAUUCGUUUGAUGCCCAAACCACCAAGACUCGUAAAGAGAAGCGUCGCUUUGAAAGCAAAAAUUCCCCACGAAAAUUUACGGGAAACGACGAGUAAUUUUUGCCACCGAUUUUUUUGUCUAACUCAGCAGAAAUGUGGGUUUUACUUUGAUCCAGUGCAGAUUUUGUUCUGAUGUUUGCAGGUAUGCAAAUACAUUUGAUUCAAUUAAAAAAAAAAAAAACAUUU
rnacentral:misc_RNA from 1 species